rnacentral:rRNA from 1 species
AAGUCGUAACAAGGUUUCCGUAGGUGAACCUGCGGAAGGAUCAUUAUCGAAUAAACUUGAACAGGUUGUUGCUGGUCUCUCUCGAGGCAUGUGCACGCUUGUCAUCUUUAUCAUUUCUCCAACUGUGCACAUAUUGUAGACCUAAUGGAAUUCGUUCCGAGUCGGGAUUGCUGCGCUUCAUUUUCAAAGAGGUCGGCUUUUCCUUGCAUUUUUCAGGUCUAUGUUUCACAAUCUCUGUAAUGUUUAGAAUGGUUGGAUCAUAAUAAAAGUUUAUACAACUUUCAGCAACGGAUCUCUUGGCUCUCGCAUCGAUGAAGAACGCAGCGAAAUGCGAUAAGUAAUGUGAAUUGCAGAAUUCAGUGAAUCAUCGAAUCUUUGAACGCAUCUUGCGCUCCUUGGUAUUCCGAGGAGCAUGCCUGUUUGAGUGUCAUUUAACUUCUCAACCCCAUCGAUUUCUGAUGUGGCUUGGACAUGGGGGUUGUUUUUGCAGGCCUCUGAAUGAGGUCGGCUCCCCUGAAAUGUAUUAGUGGUAUCUGAGCAGGACUACUAUGCCAUUAGGUGUGAUAAAUUAUCUAUGCCUGUGGUAUUCUGCAUGAACAGAUUGUGCUGCUUCUAACAAACAUAUUUGACAAAUUUGACUUCAAAUCAGGUAGGACUACCCGCUGAACUUAAGCAUAUCAAUAAGCGGAGGAAAGAAACUAACAAGGAUUCCCCUAGUACUGCNAGUGANNNGGAAANCUCAAUUUGAAUCUGGCGGUCCUGACUGUCCGAGUUGUAAUCUAGAGAANUNUUACNUGUNNUGGACUGNGUAAAAGUCUUCUGGAANGAAGCAUCACAGAGGGUGNGAUUCCCGUCUUUGACAUGGACUGCCUGUNCAUUAUGNUGNGCUCUCGANGAGUCGAGUUGUUUGGGAAUGCAGCUCAAAAUGGGUGGUAAAUGCCAUCUAAAGCUAAAUAUUGGCGAGAGACCGAUAGCGAACAAGUACCGUGAGGGAAAGAUGAAAAGAACUUUGGAAAGAGAGUUAAACAGUACGUGAAAUUGCUGAAAGGGAAACGCUUGAAGUCAGUCGCGUCAUCCAGGGAUCAACCUUGCUUUUGCUUGGUGCACUUCCUGGUUUGAUGGGUCAGCAUCAAUUUUGACCGUUGGAAAAAGGCUGAGGGAAUGUGGCAUCUUUGGAUGUGUUAUAGCCCUCUGUCACAUACAAUGGUUGGGAUUGAGGAACUCAGCACGCCGCAAGGCCGGGUUUUAAACCACGUACGUGCUUAGGAUGCUGGCAAUAUGGCUUUAAUCGACC